GACGAACGCUGGCGGCGUGCUUAACACAUGCAAGUCGAACGGAAAGGCCCUGCUUUUGUGGGGUGCUCGAGUGGCGAACGGGUGAGUAACACGUGAGUAACCUGCCCUUGUCUUUGGGAUAACUUCAGGAAACUGGGGCUAAUACCGGAUAGGAUCUCCUGCUGCAUGGUGGGGGUUGGAAAGUUUCGGCGGUUGGGGAUGGACUCGCGGCUUAUCAGCUUGUUGGUGGGGUAGUGGCUUACCAAGGCUUUGACGGGUAGCCGGCCUGAGAGGGUGACCGGCCACAUUGGGACUGAGAUACGGCCCAGACUCCUACGGGAGGCAGCAGUGGGGAAUAUUGCACAAUGGGCGGAAGCCUGAUGCAGCAACGCCGCGUGCGGGAUGACGGCCUUCGGGUUGUAAACCGCUUUCGCCUGUGACGAAGCGUGAGUGACGGUAAUGGGUAAAGAAGCACCGGCUAACUACGUG
rnacentral:rRNA from 1 species